GCCAACUCUCAUACCACACUGAGUGCACUCGUUCUCGUCCGAUCACGAAAGUUAAACAACGUAAGGCACGGAUAGUACUUAGAUGGGUGACCUUUUGGGAACUCCGUGUGGUGUUGGCU
rnacentral:rRNA from 13 species